rnacentral:misc_RNA from 1 species
GUAAAAUAUAAAUCCACUUUCAAAAGGAUUUAAAACAAAAAAGAUUAAAAAAAAACACUGUUAAAUCUGACUGAUCACUUCAAAAGUUAAAUCAAUUUGGUACUUGGAGAUCCUUCUCCCUCACAUUAUAUGUGUGCAUCCCUGUCUCCACACGCGCCCCAUACUUCAAAACUCUCCCCGUGUCAAAUCAAUAGCUUUUGCCAAAUUAGUUCUCCUACUUGUAAAGGUUUUAAAACCUGCUAUGAAGGAUUGUAUUUGGCAUAGAUUUACACAUGAAAAUGCAAUGGGUUACAUUUCCAUGGGGUUGACAAUGUAUUGGAUUAAAAAUAAAUUUGUCUUGAAUUCUUAUUUCAAGUUGCCAUGUUAACCAAGUAUUUGGAGCCUAGAACUUUUUGCAUCAUCAUUCCUGUUUUCAGUUCUGAUUCUCAUUCAUAUAUGCAAGAGAUGAACGAGGGUAGGAGGAUGCCCACUUCGAAGGUUCAAGCAUUCAACAAAUGGAUACUGAAUCUUCCUUUAACAACACAGUGCCAAUGGAAUGAAUUUUCUUUGAAAAAACCAAGGGAAAUAAUUUUCCUAUUUGUACUUUAUUCUAUUGAAUAUAAAGCAUUCUAUGGGACAAAUAUUCCUUGGAAUCAAAGUAGGAAUCAAAUUAUUUAUUCAACUCAAAACUUUGCCUCUGUGAAUUCACUUAACCAAAUAGAAAUGGUUAUUUUGGCUUGGUCAGUUCUUCCCUCACCCACCACACCUAACCCAAAGCAAAGAGGUUUCUUGAUUCAGAUGGAAUAUUUAUUUUAUUGUAUUAAUCAACAGUCUAUUCUGUGAAUUCACUUAAUCAAAUAGAAAUGGUUUUUUGGCUUGGUAAGUUCUUCCUCCACCCACCACGCCUAACCCAAAACAAGGAA